rnacentral:lncRNA from 1 species
CGAAUCCGAUCGGAGAUAAAGGAGUCCUAAAGCUAAUCAAACUCCGGCAACAACCCUAAAACUCCCAUCUAUAAAUCCCUCUGCCCGUUCCUCUAGGUAUCAUCCGAGUUAUGCAUCGAAUCGCCGGCGAAAUCAAAAGUUUAGAGAGUCUUUCCGUCGAGUGAUUCCGAGUGUGCUACCACCAAUUUGUCGUCGGAUUCAAGGUAUUGAUCUACCUAUCUUCUUCUUUUUCUCUUUCCCGAAUUCUAGGAGGCUUUUAUGGCUGCAUUGUGCCGCUGGCCGUCGAAUUUCAAGGGGAGUCAACCUCCCUUGUUUUUUUUUUUUUCUUUCUUUUGAUUUUUUUCCUUCCCCGCCGGACCGGCUGCCACCACCAGAUAACCUUGGUCACCGAGGAUCCUAGGCCACCAAGGGUCCUCAUCGUGAGGGGUUGCUGCUCCUCGAGAGCCCCUGCCAUGGGAGGUGGCCGGCCUUCAAAGAAUAACCUCUCCCCUAUUUUAACGAAGAAGAAGAAGAAGAGAGAGAGAGAGAGAGUCUCUCUUCUCUCUCUUUCUUUUAUUUAAUUUAUUUCUUUUAAUGAUCCAACAUGUCACAUGCUAAAAUAUGAGCUUAGGUUGUGAGAUUCGAUCAGCAUUUUUAGGAGCCAGACAUCAUCGAUCUGCUGUGAAAUAUACACCUUGGAAAUAUUCGGUUCUUUUGUUGCCUGUCUUAUGCAUUUCAUCAAUAUUCAUGUUUGUAUCUAGAACUUCUCCAAAUGCUUAUUUUCCUCUUUUUGUUUGUCUUUUGUUUCUCACACAUGUUUACUAUUGUAGCAACUACCAAAGUGAACCUAACUCAUCAUAUCUGAUUGUAAUCAGACAUAAUUGAUCAUGGAUACAAAAUACGAAUCAAUUAUGACCAUGAUCCCAUGGUUGUUGAACUCUGACCAAUUUGGGGUAAGGUUGAUCAAGUUGCGGAUAUUAUAGGUUUUUUUGGCUUAUGUGCCUGCAGCAUAAAUGUCCCUUUGAUCGGGCAUGGUUGAGCAGCUCUAUUUAGUUUUGACCUUUGUUGAUUCUAAUAAAGCAUGAAUUUGCAUAUGGAAGUACUAUAAACCAACUAAGACUUCUAAUUGCUAAACGGAUGAGUCAAGAUUCUAUUAUGGCUUUUUUGCUUGCAAGACAAUAAUAAUUGAUACGGAACAAAAAAUCUAAUUAACAAUGACGUAAGGUGAUAUUUUUAAGUGUGGGAGUUUUAGCAAGGCUGAUCAAGAGACUUUAUCAGAAGGAGAUAUACUUAUUCUACUUUAUUUAUUAUCUUCUCUAAGAUUUUCUUUAUGUUUAUUUAUUCUCUUGUUAAGUGACACGGCUCUCUCACUUCACAGUCAGUUAUAUGCAUUCUCAUUUACCAUGUUUAUAUCUUCAAUUUUUAUACGCAGGCACUUGGAGUGGGUCCUGAUGAGUCAUAAGAGAUUUAAAUCAAAUAAUUUAUAUUUUAUUUUAUUAUUAUUAUUAUUAUUAUUAUUAUUAUUAUUAUUAUUAUUAUUAUUAUUAUUAUUAUUAUUAUUUGACUAAUUCUGUAG